AGUGAACGCUGGCGGUAGGCCUAACACAUGCAAGUCGAACGGCAGCACAGGAGAGCUUGCUCUCUGGGUGGCGAGUGGCGGACGGGUGAGGAAUACAUCGGAAUCUACUCUGUCGUGGGGGAUAACGUAGGGAAACUUACGCUAAUACCGCAUACGACCUACGGGUGAAAGCAGGGGACCUUCGGGCCUUGCGCGAUUGAAUGAGCCGAUGUCGGAUUAGCUAGUUGGCGGGGUAAAGGCCCAGCAAGGCGUAGAUCCUUAGCUGGGCUGAGAGGAUGAUCAGCAAGACUGGAACUGAGACAGGGUGCAGACUCCUACGAGAGGCAUCAGUGGGGAAUAUUGGACAAUGGGCGCAAGCCUGAUCCAGCCAUAACGCGUGGGUGAAGAAGGCCUUCGGGUUGUAAAGCACUUUUGUUGGGAAAGAAAUCCAGCUGGCUAAUACCCGGUUGGGAUGACGGUACCCAAAGAAUAAGCACCGGCUAACUUCGUGCCAGCCGCCGCCGUAA
rnacentral:rRNA from 1 species